rnacentral:rRNA from 1 species
UGGGGAAUUUUGGACAAUGGGCGAAAGCCUGAUCCAGCAAUGCCGCGUGUGUGAAGAAGGCCUUCGGGUUGUAAAGCACUUUUGUCCGGAAAGAAAUCCUCUGGGUUAAUACCUCGGGGGGAUGACGGUACCGGAAGAAUAAGCACCGGCUAACUACGUGCCAGCAGCCGCGGUAAUACGUAGGGUGCAAGCGUUAAUCGGAAUUACUGGGCGUAAAGCGUGCGCAGGCGGUUUUGUAAGACGGAUGUGAAAUCCCCGGGCUUAACCUGGGAACUGCAUUCGUGACUGCAAGGCUAGAGUAUGGCAGAGGGGGGUAGAAUUCCACGUGUAGCAGUGAAAUGCGUAGAGAUGUGGAGGAAUACCGAUGGCGAAGGCAGCCCCCUGGGCCAAAUACUGACGCUCAUGCACGAAAGCGUGGGGAGCAAACAGGAUUAGAUACCCUGGUAGUCCACGCCCUAAACGAUGUCAACUAGUGUUGGGGAUUCAUUUCCUUAGUAACGUAGCUAACGCGUGAAGUUGACCGCCUGGGGAGUACGGUCGCAAGAUUAAAACUCAAAGGAAUUGAC